rnacentral:rRNA from 1 species
UACGUAGGGGGCAAGCGUUGUCCGGAAUUAUUGGGCGUAAAGAGCUCGUAGGCGGUCUGUUGCGUCGGCUGUGAAAUCCCGAGGCUCAACCUCGGGUCUGCAGUCGAUACGAGCAAACUAGAGUGUUGCAGGGGAGACUGGAAUUCCUGGUGUAGCGGUGAAAUGCGCAGAUAUCAGGAGGAACACCGGUGGCGAAGGCGGGUCUCUGGGCAACAACUGACGCUGAGGAGCGAAAGCGUGGGGAGCGAACAGG